rnacentral:rRNA from 1 species
GAUGAACGCUGGCGGCGUGCCUAAUACAUGCAAGUCGAGCGAACAGAUGAGGAGCUUGCUCCUCUGACGUUAGCGGCGGACGGGUGAGUAACACGUGGAUAACCUACCUAUAAGACUGGGAUAACUUCGGGAAACCGGAGCUAAUACCGGAUAAUAUAUUGAACCGCAUGGUUCAAUAGUGAAAGACGGUUUUUCUGUCACUUAUAGAUGGAUCCGCGCCGCAUUAGCUAGUUGGUAAGGUAACGGCUUACCAAGGCAACGAUGCGUAGCCGGCCUGAGAGGGGGGAUGGGCAAAAAGGAAAGGGGGAAACGGUCAAGACACGAAGGGGAGGAAGAAGAGGGAAAUGUACGGAAAGGGGCGAAAGCCGAAGGGAGAAAGGCGGGGGGGGGAAGGAAGGGGUUGGAAUGGAAAAACGCGGUAAUAGGGAAGAACAAAUGUGUAAGUAACUAUGCACGUCUUGACGGUACCUAAUCAGAAAGCCACGGCUAACUACGUG